rnacentral:rRNA from 1 species
AUUGAACGCUGGCGGCAGGCCUAACACAUGCAAGUCGAACGAGUGGCGGACGGGUGAGUAAUGUCUGGGAAACUGCCCGAUGGAGGGGGAUAACUACUGGAAACAGUAGCUAAUACCGCAUACCAUCGGAUGUGCCCAGAUGGGAUGAGCUAGUAGGUGGGGUAACGGCUCACCAAGGAGACGAUCCCGAGAUGGUCUGAGAGGAUGACCAUCCACACUGGAACUGAGACACGGUCCAGACUCUUACGGGCGGCAGCAGGGGGGAACAUUGCACAAUGGGCGCAAGCCUGAUGCAGCCUUGCCGCGUGUAGGAAGAAGGCCUUCGGGGUGUAAAGGACUUUCAGCGAGGAGGCGUUACUCGCAGAAGAAGCACCGGCUAACUCCGUGCCAGAAGCCGCGGGAAUUC